UGGUGAUGAGGCGUUUUGUAUGGCUGGUGAUGAGGCGUUUUGUAUGGCUGGUGAUGAGGUGUUUUGUAUGGCUGGUGAUGAGGUGUUUUGUAUGGCUGGUGAUGAGGUGUUUUGUAUGGCUGGUGAUGAGGUGUUUUGUAUGGCUGGUGAUGAGGCGUUUUGUAUGGCUGGUGAUGAGGCGUUUUGUAUGGCUGGUGAUGAGGCGUUUUGUAUGGCUGGUGAUGAGGUGUUUUGUAUGGCUGGUGAUGAGGCGUUUUGCUCAGAAAAGCAACAAGGAAAGGAAACAGGACAUCAGCUCCACAACAGGAUGUUUGGCCCGUAUGGCAACAUUUAUUAGAGUAAAAAUGGUUGACAACACAUGACCAUGUUUUACAUUUGUAGAAACUUAAUUGAAAAUGUCCUUGAACAGAGAGAAAACAUCCUCAGAUGAGUUGUCAGUCCUAGAAGACAGCGUCCCUUGGUGCUGGGUGAGUAUGUAUGCUGACAGUUGGAGCCAUGGAUGUGGAGCGGGUCAGCGGUUCUGUGUGCGUCUCAGGCCCUGCUAUCGUUGUUCAUCUCAGGAACAGGGCUGGCUACUACUCCCUCACACACCAGGGAGUCAGCGGUUCUGUGUGUGUCUCAGGCCCUGCUAUCGUUGUUCAUCUCAGGAACAGGGCUGGCUACUGCUCCCUCACACACCAGGGAGUCAGCGGUUCUGUGUGUGUCUCAGGCCCUGCUAUCGUUGUUCAUCUCAGGAACAGGGCUG
ensembl:lncRNA